CCUACGGGAGGCAGCAGUGAGGAAUAUUGGUCAAUGGUCGGGAGACUGAACCAGCCAAGCCGCGUGAGGGAGGAAGGUACAGAGUAUCGUAAACCUCUUUUGUCAGGGAACAAAGACUGGGACGCGUCCCCGGAUGAGUGUACCUGAAGAAAAAGCAUCGGCUAACUCCGUGCCAGCAGCCGCGGUAAUACGGAGGAUGCGAGCGUUAUCCGGAUUUAUUGGGUUUAAAGGGUGCGCAGGCGGUCUGUUAAGUCAGCGGGCAAAGCCCGGGGCUCAACCCCGGCCCGCCGUUGAAACUGGCAGUCUCGAGUUGGAGAGAAGUAUGCGGAAUGCGCGGUGUAGCGGUGAAAUGCAGAGAUAUCGCGCAGAACUCCGAUUGCGAAGGCAGCAUGCCGGCUCCACACUGACGCUGAGGCACGAAAGCGUGGGUAUCGAACAGGAUUAGAUACCCGAGUAGUC
rnacentral:rRNA from 1 species